UGGGGAAUAUUGCACAAUGGGGGAAACCCUGAUGCAGCGACGCCGCGUGGAGGAAGAAGGUCUUCGGAUUGUAAACUCCUGUCGUUGAGGACGAUAAUGACGGUACUCAACAAGAAAGCCACGGCUAACUACGUGCCAGCAGCCGCGGUAAAACGUAGGUGGCAAGCGUUGUCCGGAAUUACUGGGUGUAAAGGGAGCGCAGGCGGAAGCGCAAGUUGGAUGUGAAACCCAUGGGCUCAACCCAUGGCCUGCAUCCAAAACUGUGUUUCUUGAGUAGUGCAGAGGUAGGCGGAAUUCCCGGUGUAGCGGUGGAAUGCGUAGAUAUCGGGAGGAACACCAGUGGCGAAGGCGACUUUCUGGACAGUUACUGACGUUGAGGCACGAAAGUGUGGGGAGCAAACAGGAUUAGAUACCCUGGUAGU
rnacentral:rRNA from 1 species